UGAUGACAUAAGGUUAACAGAGUUGAUGUCAAGACAAAUAGGUUUGAAGUUAUAGAUGAUAAAUCACUUUGUCUUACUGAACCUUCCCUUGAUUACGUUAGAGAGCAUCCCUGGUAUGCUCCCAGUUGAAUCUUAAGCAUGAUGUGUGUCCGGGUGAUAUAAUCGUAAUUCCUUUCUGUUAAUCCUCGUUCUCUCUCUUUUUUUUCUUUUUCUUCUUUUUCUCUGGACUCUGAAAAUAGCCAACAAGAAUGCUUUGAAAGAGCUGAAAUUGUAUGGAUGUUUCUUCUUCUUCUGCCACUUUUUCUUCUUCCUCUUCUUCAACUGAAUAGGGUAAGUGUAAAGGCACAACAAAUUAACACUGUAUCAGAUCUCAUUCCUUCCAAAAACGUUUGAGUCCUAGUUUUUUUCUGUCAUUCUCAUCAACUACCCAAUGUUUGUUUUGUUUAUUUUAUAAUUGGGAAGGUUCUCCAAGGCCUACCACUAACUUUAACGAAUGAUAUAGAUAGAGCUCAGAGCAAUCUUCUCACGAUCAUGAAGUCAUGUAUAAAAAUCAGGAUUAAAACAAAGGUCAUCUGAUCUCCAAUCAUUAUUGGGAAGAAAGUCAAUUAUAUUAGAAAUGGUUAAGAGCUUGCACUCUGAAGUCAGACGGCCUGGGUUUAAUCUACCUGCUGCAACCCUGAAAAAUUGUAUUUACCCUUGGUGAAGCUCCCUAUCUAUAAAACUUAAGAAUGUCUUAUCUUACUGGACUGUUACUGAUUUAAAAAGAUGAUGCAUAGAAAGCACUAAGUAUAAUGCUUAGCACACAUUACAAUAAGGACUCAACACAUAGCUAUCAUUAGACAUUCAGUGACCAGCUGGGUGCAGUGGCUCACGCCUGUAAUCUCAGCACUUUGGGAGGCUGAGGCGGGAGGAUCACUUGAGGUCAGGAUAUCAAGACCAGCCUGGCCAACAUGGUGAAAUCCUGUAUCUAAUAAAAAUACAAAAAAGUUAGCUAGGCAUGGUGGUGCAUGCCUGUAAUCCCAGUUAUUCAGGAGGCUGAAGCACGAGAAUUGCUUGAACCCAGGAGGCGGAGGCUGCAGUCAGCCAAGAUCACGCCACUGCACUUCAGCCUGGGCGACAG
ensembl:lncRNA novel transcript, antisense to NOP58